rnacentral:misc_RNA from 1 species
AAAAAAAAAAAAAAAAUGAUUUAAUUUCCCAUAGCCAUCAACAGAAAUAAAAUAGAGAAUAUUAAAUCAAAUGAAGAGAUGGAAAUAUCGGUAUCAAUUAUCAAGAAAUCAAUAUUCCUUCAAUGAACAGAAUACUGAUGCAUAUACUGAACAGUCAUAGGAAAGAAAACUAAUCCUUGGGGUCUACUAGAAAUCUAGAACUACUUGAAAGUCUAAACCCAAUACGUCUAGCUGGCACUGGUUUCAGGCCUUAGUUCCUUUUCUUAUAUCCUUGCUUUUCUGAUUGAUCAUACUAGAAUGAAAAAAAAUUAAUAAAGCAAGUUGCUUGAGAAUUUUUUUUAAUCUCUGAUCCAGAUGCAAGACCAAUCUUUAAUUUUUUAAAUCAAGAAAUAAGUUCCAGUAACACUUAAAAAAUAAAAUAAAAUUCUUAAGAAAUUGAAAUGGAAACUAGUAUUAUACAUUUUGGUAAUCCUUAAUGCUUCGUUUGGAAAAAAAAAAUCAUUUUGUAAGAAAAGAACUCAAUACAAUUUUCGCGCAAUUAUAUUGUUUUUGGCAUGAU